UGCGGCUGGAACACCUCCUUUCUAGAGAUGAUUUAACCGUUAGGUUUUGGUUGAAAGGAAGAUAUUACUCUCGCUGUUAAUUUAAAAAAUAAGAAUAAGCAAAGAAAACAGAGUCUCGUAGCUCAGCUGGUUAGAGUACUACACUGAUAAUGUAGGGGUCGGCAGUUCGAGUCUGCCCGGGACUACUUUUUAAGCUUGUUUAAAGGAAAUUUUAGAGGUUGAGUAACCGUUUGAAGUACUGUUAACUUAGAACUGUUAACGAAGACACUAAAACAACGGGGGAUUAGCUCAGCUGGCUAGAGCGCCUGCCUUGCACGCAGGAGGUCAUCGGUUCGACUCCGAUAUUCUCCACUUAGCGCCACGGUUUUAAUUAAUCGUUCUGGUCGCACCAAGUUCAUUGACAUAUUGAGAUAAAAUACAUUUAAAAAGUAGAAAGUACAGUAGAUGUGUAGUAAUACAUAUUUAUAAAGAAAGUCCUAGUUUUAUUUAUAAAAUUAGGCGGCACAUAAGCAAAAUAAGGGCGUAUGGGGGAUGCC
rnacentral:tRNA from 1 species